CCUACGGGUGGCAGCAGUGAGGAAUAUUGGUCAAUGGCCGUAAGGCUGAACCAGCCAAGUAGCGUGAGGGAAGACUGCCCUAUGGGUUGUAAACCUCUUUUAUGCGGGGAUAAAGGUGUCCACGUGUGGAUGUUUGCAGGUACCGCAUGAAUAAGGACCGGCUAAUUCCGUGCCAGCAGCCGCGGUAAUACGGAAGGUCCGGGCGUUAUCCGGAUUUAUUGGGUUUAAAGGGAGCGUAGGCCGGUCUUUAAGCGUGCCGUGAAAUUUUGUGGUUCAACCAGGAGAGUGCGGCGCGAACUGGAGACCUGGAGUGCGCGGAAGGCAGGCGGAAUUCGUGGUGUAGCGGUGAAAUGCUUAGAUAUCACGAAGAACCCCGAUUGCGAAGGCAGCCUGCCAAGCCAUGACUGACGCUGAUGCACGAAAGCGUGGGGAUCAAACAGGAUUAGAUACCCCUGUAGUC
rnacentral:rRNA from 1 species